rnacentral:rRNA from 1 species
AUUGAACGCUGGCGGCAUGCCUUACACAUGCAAGUCGAACGGUAGAGGGGCAACCCUCGAGAGUGGCGAACGGGUGAGUAAUGCAUCGGAACGUGCCCAGUAGUGGGGGAUAGCCCGGCGAAAGCCGGAUUAAUACCGCAUACGACCUACGGGUGAAAGGGGGGGAUCGCAAGACCUCUCGCUAUUGGAGCGGCCGAUGUCAGAUUAGGUAGUUGGUGGGGUAAAAGCCUACCAAGCCGACGAUCUGUAGCUGGUCUGAGAGGACGACCAGCCACACUGGGACUGAGACACGGCCCAGACUCCUACGGGAGGCAGCAGUGGGGAAUUUUGGACAAUGGACGAAAGUCUGAUCCAGCCAUGCCGCGUGCAGGAAGAAGGCCUUCGGGUUGUAAACUGCUUUUGUCAGGGAAGAAAUCUUUUGGGCUAAUACCCCGGGAGGAUGACGGUACCUGAAGAAUAAGCACCGGCUAACUACGUGCCAGCAGC